GAAAGUGUGGGGAGCAAACAGGAUUAGAUACCCUGGUAGUCCACACCAUAAACUAUGGACACUAGAUAUGGGGAGUAUCGACCCUCUCCGUGUCGUAGCUAACGCGUUAAGUGUCCCGCCUGGGGAGUACGGCCGCAAGGCUAAAACUCAAAGGAAUUGACGGGGGCCCGCACAAGCAGCGGAGCGUGUGGUUUAAUUCGAUGCAAAACGAAGAACCUUACCAAGGCUUGACAUGCUGGAAGUAGUGAACCGAAAGGGGAUCGACCUGUUAAGUCAGGAGCCAGCACAGGUGCUACAUGGCUGUCGUCAGCUCGUGCCGUGAGGUGUUUGGUUAAGUCCUGCAACGAGCGCAACCCUUAUUGCUAGUUGUUUUUUCUAGCGAGACUGCCCCGCAAAACAGGGAGGAAGGUGGGGAUGACGUCAAGUCAGCACGGCCCUUAUGCCUUGGGCUACACACACGCUACAAUGGGUGGUACAGUAGGUUGCAAUGGAGCGAUCCGGAGCUAAUCCCUAAAGCCAUCCUCAGUUCGGAUUGCAGGCUGAAACUCGCCUGCAUGAAGUCGGAGUUGCUAGUAAACGCGUAUCAGCAUGGCGCGUUGAAUACGUUCUCGGGCCUUGUACACACCGCCCGUCACGUCAUGAAAGUCGGCAACACCUGAAGUCGAUGGGCUAACCCCGACUUGUCGGGGGGGCAGUCGCCGAGGGUGGGGCUGGUGAUUGGGACGAAGUCGUAACAAGGUAGCCGUAGCGGAAGCUGCGGCUG
rnacentral:rRNA from 1 species